rnacentral:lncRNA from 1 species
UGAGGAGGAUCACAUGCGGCGAGCCGUGGAUACUCAUUUGUCAUUGUAUUUUAAGGAUUAUCGCCAUCACAUGCAUCAGCAUUGGUACCAUGUGGUGCAGGAUCAUGGGGAGGAGGCAGCGCGGCAGUAGCCCUAUGACAGUAUCAUUAUGGAUGAUUAGACUAUCAUAUGCCGGCAUUACGAGGAUCUGGUAUAUCAGGUUACACAUCUAAAUUUUUUUUUAGAGUUUAAUGAUUGAAUCAUUUAUUUUUAAAUUAAAUUUGUUAUCUACUAAUUUAAC